GCGGCGUGCCUAAUACAUGCAAGUCGAACGCACUGACGUCGACAGAAGGUGCUUGCACUGGAAGUUGAUUGACGUGAGUGGCGGACGGGUGAGUAACACGUGGGUAACCUGCCCUUAAGCGGGGGAUAACAUUUGGAAACAGAUGCUAAUACCGCAUAAAAGUUGAGAUCACAUGGUCUUAAUUUGAAAGACGGCCUUUGGCUGUCACUUAAGGAUGGACCCGCGGCGUAUUAGCUAGUUGGUGAGAUAAUAGCCCACCAAGGCGAUGAUACGUAGCCGACCUGAGAGGGUAAUCGGCCACAUUGGGACUGAGACACGGCCCAAACUCCUACGGGAGGCAGCAGUAGGGAAUCUUCCACAAUGGACGAAAGUCUGAUGGAGCAACGCCGCGUGAGUGAAGAAGGUUUUCGGAUCGUAAAACUCUGUUGUUGGAGAAGAACAGGGACUAGAGUAACUGUUAGUCCUUUGACGGUAUCCAACCAGAAAGCCACGGCUAACUACGUGCCAGCAGCCGCGGUAAUACGUAGGUGGCAAGCGUUGUCCGGAUUUAUUGGGCGUAAAGCGAGCGCAGGCGGUUUCUUAAGUCUGAUGUGAAAGCCUUCGGCUUAACCGAAGAAGUGCAUCAGAUACUGGGAAACUUGAGUGCAGAAGAGGAAAGUGGAACUCCAUGUGUAGCGGUGAAAUGCGUAGAUAUAUGGAAGAACACCAGUGGCGAAGGCGGCUUUCUGGUCUGUAACUGACGCUGAGGCUCGAAAGUAUGGGGAGCGAACAGGAUUAGAUACCCUGGUAGUCCAUACCGUAAACGAUGAAUGCUAAGUGUUGGAGGGUUUCCGCCCUUCAGUGCUGCAGCUAACGCAUUAAGCAUUCCGCCUGGGGAGUACGACCGCAAGGUUGAAACUCAAAGGAAUUGACGGGGGCCCGCACAAGCGGUGGAGCAUGUGGUUUAAUUCGAAGCUACGCGAAGAACCUUACCAGGUCUUGACAUCUAGCGCCAAUCCUAGAGAUAGGACGUUCCCUUCGGGGACGCUAAGACAGGUGGUGCAUGGUUGUCGUCAGCUCGUGUCGUGAGAUGUUGGGUUAAGUCCCGCAACGAGCGCAACCCUUAUGAUUAGUUGCCAGCAUUUAGUUGGGCACUCAAAUCAGACUGCCGGUGACAAACCGGAGGAAGGUG
rnacentral:rRNA from 1 species